rnacentral:rRNA from 1 species
GGAUGUGAUCAUACCAGCACUAAAGCACCGGAUCCCAUCGGAACUCCGAAGUUAAGCGUGCUUGGGCGAGAGUAGUACUAGCAUGGGUGACCUCCUGGGAAGUCCUCGUGUUGCAUUCC